UCUGCCCCAAAAUUGAAUAUGCCAAGGUUGAGAAACUUUACAGAAGAGGGAAGGGCAGUCAUCCUUUGUAUAUUGCUGUCACUGUGUGGAUGGGAAGGUGACUGGAAGUUAACAAAAACUGCCUCACGGAAUAAACAGGAAGACAUCAAUGGACUCUCCUUCCAGAUGAGAAGCCCAGUGCAAAGCUUCAGGCCAGGUGGUAUCUAGCUGAUGAAAAGAGAUCAUGGGGACUCUGUUUCUA